rnacentral:lncRNA from 1 species
ACACUGAAGUGAGUCAGGAAAGAUUCACCAUCUUCAGUUAUAAUUUUAUGCCACUUAUCUGCCAGAGUCUGGUGGAAAUGAGAUCAAGAAAAAUGAGCAGGUCCAAGAUAAUAAAGCAUGGAGCAGAUGUAGGGAUCAAGCAGAGCCACAUUCCUGCAUGAGCCGGACUUCCAGAAGGUGCUUGGCUGAGCUGGAGGCUCUCGUCCCAUCAUCCUUUUCCUCCUCACUCUGAACAAAGUUCCAUGCACGGAAGAGGGUUUCCCAGCUUCCAUGGGUCCUUUUUCUUUCCCUCUGCAGGUCCCCUCUUCCCCACUUACUGUUUAAACUCUUUACUCCAUUCCUUCUCAAAAUAAAGGCCAUUUAGUGAGAACUUCCUCAGU